rnacentral:RNase_P_RNA from 1 species
GAAGCUCGCUAGGCCGUCGCUGGUGCAAUCUGGGAAACCAGGCACUGGAGGAACGUCCGGACUGCGUAGGACAGCGUAAGAGGUAACACCUCUCCACCGUGAGGUGAGGAUUAGAGCAACAGAGACGAGCCGCUUUAGUGCGGGUGAAACGGGCAAUCUCUACGCGCAGCAAUACCAAGUAGGCCAACGUUGAGGCGGUCCGCUGAGUUGGCGGGUAGGUAGCACCGAGCCGAGUGGGCAACCCUCGGCCCAGAUUAAUGACGGUCACGCCGUGGGCAACCACGGUGCACAGAAUCCGGCGUAUCGGCGAGCUUCACAC